AAAAUAUAUACAGUUAACUCUCGUUGUCUCGAACUCGGUUGACUCGAAAUUUCGGAUGAGUCGAAGUUUUCACGUGGUCCCAAACUUUAUUCCAUACAAAAGUAUGUAAUUCGACUCCUGAUGAGUCGAAAUUGGAUGAGUCGAAAUUUCGGUUGAGUCGAACUAAAUUUACGGUCCCAAAGAUAACAAAAGCAUUCAAAAUUCAUUUUUU
rnacentral:lncRNA from 1 species